AUGGUCAAGGGUAGACAGGGAGAACGCAUUAGGCUUUAUGUCAGGGGUACAGUUCUUGGAUACAAAAGGUCAAAGUCAAAUCAAUACCCAAACACCUCUCUUGUUCAGAUCGAGGGAGUAAACACAAAGGAAGAGGUUGCAUGGUAUGCUGGGAAACGGUUGGCAUACAUUUACAAGGCCAAGGUUAAAAGGGAUGGUAGCCACUAUAGGUGUAUCUGGGGAAAGGUUACUAGACCUCAUGGUAACAGUGGGAUAGUCCGUGCAAAGUUCACUUCAAAUUUGCCACCAAAAUCAAUGGGAGCUAGGGUUAGAGUAUUCAUGUAUCCAAGCAAUAUAUAA